rnacentral:rRNA from 1 species
AUACGGAGGGUGCAAGCGUUACUCGGAAUCACUGGGCGUAAAGCGCGCGCAGGCGGUCUUUUAAGUUGGAUGUGAAAGCCUACGGCUCAACCGUAGAACUGCAUCCAAAACUAUUAGACUAGAGUGUGGGAGAGGAAGAUGGAAUUAGUUGUGUAGGGGUAAAAUCCGUAAAGAUAACUAGGAAUACCAAAAGCGAAGGCAAUCUUCUGGAACGCUACUGACGCUGAGGCGCGAAAGCGUGGGGAGCAAACAGGAUUAGAAACCCUAGUAGUCC